UACAGGGGGGGGCAAGCGUUGUUCGGAAUUACUGGGCGUAAAGGGCCAGUAGGCGGCCAACUAAGUCCGACGUGAAAUCCCAAGGCUUAACCUUGAAACUGCGUCGGAUACUGGAUGGCUUGAAUUCGGGAGAGGGAUGCAGAAUUCCAGGUGUAGCGGUGAAAUGCGUAGAUAUCUGGAGGAAUACCGGUGGCGAAGGCGGCAUCCUGGGGAGUACCUGACGCUCAGGUGCGAAAGCUAGGGGAGCGAACGGG
rnacentral:rRNA from 1 species